UACGUAGGGUGCGAGCGUUGUCCGGAAUUACUGGGCGUAAAGAGCUCGUAGGUGGUUUGUCGCGUUGUUCGUGAAAACUCACAGCUUAACUGUGGGCGUGCGGGCGAUACGGGCAGACUGGAGUACUGCAGGGGAGACUGGAAUUCCUGGUGUAGCGGUGGAAUGCGCAGAUAUCAGGAAGAACACCGGUGGCGAAGGCGGCUCUCUGGGCCUUACCUGACGCUCAGGUGCGAAAGCUAGGGGAGCGAACAGG
rnacentral:rRNA from 1 species